AGAGUUUGAUCCUGGCUCAGGAUGAACGCUAGCGGCAGGCCUAAUACAUGCAAGUCGUACGGUAAACGGUCCUUCGGGGCCGUGAGAGUGGCGGACGGGUGCGUAACGCGUAUGCAACCCACCCCCGACGGGCAGAUAGCCGGUGGAAACGCCGGAUAACCCGCCAUGCGCCCCCGGGAGGGCAUCCUCCUUGGUGCAAAGCGGCGACGCGGUCGGGGACGGGCAUGCGUCCCAUUAGAUUGUUGGCGGGGCGACGGCCCACCAAGUCGACGAUGGGUAGGGGAUCUGAGAGGACGGUCCCCCACACUGGUACUGAGACACGGACCAGACUCCUGCGGGAGGCAGCAGUAAGGGAUAUUGGUCAAUGGUCGGAAGACUGAACCAGCCAUGCCGCGUGAGGGAAUGAGGCCCUACGGGUCGUGAACCUCUUUUAUUCGGGGACAAUGACGCGGUCGCGAACCGUGUUUGAGGGUACCGAAGGAAUAAGCGUCGGCUAACUCCGUGCCAGCAGCCGCGGUAAUACGGAGGACGCGAGCGUUAUCCGGAUUCAUUGGGUUUAAAGGGUGCGCAGGCGGCCGAGCAAGUCAGCGGUGAAAGCCCGGGGCCCAACCCCGGAAGUGCCGUUGAUACUGUUGGGCUUGAAUGCGGUCGAGGCGGGCGGAACGUGGCGUGUAGCGGUGAAAUGCGUAGAUAUGCCACAGAACGCCGGUAGCGGAGGCUGCUCGCCAGGCCUGCAUUGACGCUCGGGCACGAAAGCGUGGGGAUCGAACAGGAUUAGAUACCCUGGUAGUCCACGCCGUAAACGAUGGGCGCUCGUCGUCGGCGAUAGAAUGUCGGCGGCCAAGCGAAAGCGAUAAGCGCCCCACCUGGGGA
rnacentral:rRNA from 1 species